UACGUAGGGGGCGAGCGUUGUCCGGAAUUACUGGGCGUAAAGAGCGCGUAGGCGGGGUGUUACAUCCACUGUUAAAGCCCCUGGCUCAACCAGGGGAGCCGGUGGCGAUGGGCAGCCUGGAGGAUGGCAGAGGCAAGCGGAAGUCCCGAAGUAGUGGUGAAAUGCGUAGAGAUCGGGAGGAACACCAGUGGCGAAGGCGGUUCUCUGGGCCUUACCUGACGCUGAGGAGCGAAAGCGUGGGGAGCGAACAGG
rnacentral:rRNA from 1 species